AAAGAAUUAGUUAACCUAUAACAUUAGAAUGUCAAUCUAAAGUCAUUAAUUUUAAUAUUCUUUG
rnacentral:tRNA from 2 species